CUCAGUCCUCCCCUCUCCCAAAUUUCUCUCUAGAGUUUCAAAUACUUCUUCCUCUCUUGCGUAGAAUGGGUUCCUCUUUCUCCAGAAAUUCAGCUCCAGUCAGCAUCCAGGCUCUGAGCCAGGAAGGAACAUAACUUCUACCCUAGAACUUUCCUCUACAAACACAUUAAGCUACUCCUCUGAGCAAAAGCCUUCAUCUUAGCAUGAUCCGUCUUACUGAUGGUUUUAGAAACUUAUGGUAAUACUUGAUCCUUUUAUAAUUAUAAUAGACUUUUAUAUCAUCUUUACGUUUUCACUUAACUAUAUAGAUUAAGCAGUGAAAACCUUAACAGAAGUCUGGCUUUGUAGAUUAAUACUUAUCUGCUGCAGAAUACCCCUACUCCUACUCCUUCCUUUGAACAAUCAUCUUGUAUUGACAAUUCAAGAGAAGUGAGUGAGAGAGCUGGGAUAUGACUUCAGGAAUCCAUAUUCUUACUAACUACAUUAUGCUGGUUUUGGAGAAUUGUAGAGGACCUCUGAGGAAUCUUCCUGAGGAAUGCUCUUUGCAAAGCUCUGCUCCAGAGAUGAUGGCGAACAGCACUGAACAAAACAAAAACCUCAGCCACCAUGAAGCUCAGCGACAGACAAUAAACACAUACACAGCACUUUGACAGCAGAGAACUGAGCCACGGAAGGAACCCAGCAGAAGUCAUCUGGAAAGCCAUACUAGGAAAUGAUAGGAAAAAGUGGGUUUUGGCUAAGGAGAGCUUCUAAGAGGAUGGUGGAGGCAGCACCUUGGCGCUCCUGAUGGAAAGGCACCACCGGAGAACUAAAGAGCCGCCCAGCGACAGACAGGAAGAGGAACCCCAGACCAGGGGCCCGGACUCACCCACAGUG